GUUUUAAGGGCAGCCUAGUGGACAUGGCAUCUGCCCAGUAAGCGGAACACUCUGGGUUCGAUUCCCAUCCCUGGACA
rnacentral:tRNA from 1 species